rnacentral:rRNA from 1 species
UGAGUAACCUGCCCUUAACUCUGGGAUAAGCCUGGGAAACUGGGUCUAAUGCCGGAUAUGACUCCUCAUCGCAUGGGUGGGGGGUGGAAAGCUUUUUGUGGUUUUGGAUGGACUCGCGGCCUAUCAGCUUGUUGGUGAGGUAAUGGCUCACCAAGGCGACGACGGGUAGCCGGCCUGAGAGGGUGUCCGGCCACACUGGGACUGAGAUACGGCCCAGACUCCUACGGGGAGCAG